rnacentral:rRNA from 1 species
CCUACGGGUGGCUGCAAUUAGGAAUCUUGUGCAAUGGGGGCAACCCUGACACAGCGACGCCGCGUGGGGGAGGAAGGCCUUCGGGUCGUAAACCCCUUUUGCGAGGGAAGAAAUCAAUGACGGUACCUCGCGAAUAAGCCACGGCUAACUCCGUGCCAGCAGCCGCGGUAAUACGGAGGUGGCGAGCGUUGUCCGAAGUUACUGGGCGUAAAGCGCGCGUAGGCGGGUUCGCAAGUCCGCUGUGAAAGGCCGGGGCUUAACCCCGGUUCGUCGGC